rnacentral:rRNA from 1 species
ACUCCUACGGGAGGGCAGCAGUAGGGAAUCUUCCACAAUGGGCGCAAGCCUGAUGGAGCAACACCGCGUGAGUGAAGAAGGGUUUCGGCCCGUAAAGCUCUGUUGUUAAAGAAGAACACGUAUGAGAGUAACUGUUCAUACGUUGACGGUAUUUAACCAGAAAGUCACGGCUAACUACGUGCCAGCAGCCGCGGUAAUACGUAGGUGGCAAGCGUUAUCCGGAUUUAUUGGGGCGUAAAGAGAGUGCAGGCGGUUUUCUAAGUCUGAUGUGAAAGCCUUCGGCUUAACCGGAGAAGUGCAUCGGAAACUGGAUAACUUGAGUGCAGAAGAGGGUAGUGGAACUCCAUGUGUAGCGGUGGAAUGCGUAGAUAUAUGGAAGAACACCAGUGGCGAAGGCGGCUACCUGGUCUGCAACUGACGCUGAGACUCGAAAGCAUGGGUAGCGAACAGGAUUAGAUACCCUGGUAGGAUAGCG